UCAUAGCUCAACACUGAAACAAAUGUCAACAGAAGAAUGGUGAAGUUCAUAAUUCAGAAAAGAGAGCUUUAUUUCCUUAAAAAGUUUGCAUCCUGUGGGGUGGCCAUUGUGAUGAGCCGGGAGCCGUAGCAACCAGCCAAGGGCCAGAAACAGCCACCUCAAGGGUAGAAAGAAUAAGAAGAAUUUAUGCUGAGCAGGAUGGUCAAAUAUACAUAUUCAAUGAGGCACAGGAGGAGUGAUGAAUAUUUAUGACAGGAGGAACUUGCGCUCAGGAGCAACUGAGCUUCCUGUCUCUCCAUGGGACCCAUGUUCCCAAAACGGCAGUGUUAGCAUUGAUCUGAAAAUGGAGAGAGAGAGAGAGAGAGAGAGAGAGACAGAGUGUGUUUGUGUGUGUGUGUGUGUGUGUGUGUGUGUGUGUGUGUGUGUGUGUGUGUGUUUGAGACGGAGUCUUGCUCUGUCACCCAGGCUGGAGUGCAGCGGCACUAUCUCUGUUCACUGCAACCUCUGCCUUCCAGGUUCAAGUUAUUCUCCUGCCUCAGUCUCCUGAGUAGCUGGAACUACAGGCAUGCACCACCACUCCCAGCCAAUUUUUGUAUUUUUAUUAGAGAUGGAGUUUUUGGCAUGUUGGCCAGGCUGGUCUUGAACUCCUGACCACAAGCGAUCCACCUGCCUGUGCCUCCCAAAGUGCUGGGAUUAUAGGCGCGAGUGACAGCACCUGUGCCAAGAACGGAGUUUUCAGUCCUCUGAAGUCAAAAGAUGGAGGAGAAGAGAAGGAAAGCCUCACUAUGCAUUCUCCAUAGACUGGACAGACCCAAUCUGUGCUCUAGUGAGGCAUGUCCCACCUCCCCAUCCAGUCUUGGCCGAGAACUCAGCUUCCAAGGCUUCACUGGAGUCCCCUUGGCUGAAAGAUAGUCCAUCCAGUCAAUUAGGAGGCUUAAGAUUUUAUUUUUAUUUCUCAUUUGACAAUAUAUCCCUUGAAAAGAAGGGCUGAGAAUUAUCUAUCGUCAUUGUCCUUUUUGGCAAAAAGGAGGGUAGGAAAAAAUCUGCAUCUCGUUUUUUAACCUGUAAGUGGGAAUAAGAACUCCAAGGGACAAAGUGAAUGGUGGAAAUUUUCACCAGUUUUCAUGUGUUUAAAAGGACACUCAGCAGCGCGUUUGUUGAUCUGUCGAUCCGUCUCUUGCUUCAACGAUGCUUGGAUGAAACAGACCAGGAACUCCCUCUCUUCCAGCCUCUGACUGCCCUUCCAUCUCCUCUCCACCUGCAACCUCCAGAACCACCUUCUCCACCACCUCUUGCUUCUAGGGCUGUUGCAGAUCUUUUUCUCAGUUCAGCUAAAGAUGGGGAGGUGGGGCAUCUUUGUCCCAUGGCCAUGAAAGUUUAGGCUUACAGACGGUUUGAAGGUCAGCCGCAAAGCAUUCUCCAUAUCUCACAGUUCCUUGAAAAUUUCAUACCAGGACUUGGCCAAGGUUAAGCACAGCUCCUUCCUUCCACCAUGUGAAGAAGAACGUGUUUGCGUCCCCUUCCACCAUGACUGUUUCCUGAGGCCUCCCCAGCCCUGCAGAACUACCUCGCAGGCCCUGUAAAAAUCCGAGACCCUAGCAAAGCAGAGACACAGCAACUGGACGUCUUGAGGAAAAGAUUGGCAGAAAUCACAAGCGGCUGGCUGUCAAGAGCACACUGGCAGAAGAGCCCGCUGACAGGCACCGGCAUACCAGCAGGCCAUUGGCCAGCAGAACCAAGUGGAGUUUGCCCAGAGUAAGAGCCAUCAUUGACAGGGCUGUUCUUCUUUCUGUUUUACAGAUGAGAAAAUUGAAACCCAGAGAGGUUAGUUAAUUUAUCCAAAGACAUAGAUCUAGUAAGUGGUAGGUCCUGCAUUCAAAUCCUUUCUCAUUCCGGAAUGUACAAUUCUAGUCACAUGUCUAUACUGCCUUCCCUGUACAUCUGAAAUCUUAUGAUGCAGUCACUUGUUCUUUCUCCACCAAUAGUCAAUCAUGUGGUAAUAAUCCAGGAGAAGCUGGAAUUUGAAAUGUUUCCCUGACUUUAGCCAUAUUUUAAGGUUCCUGAAGCCAGCAUGGUGGUGUUUUCCAAUGGUCCAAGCUCCGGGACAUUCCUGCCUGCUGAGAUAUUACACAAAAAGAGUUGUGCUAGCUGAGGUCUGUUAUUGCUUUCCUUUGAUGUCCACCUGCUGAGUCACAGCCACCCUUGCCUUUCCACAGAGCAGCUGCCCAUCUACCAUAAUGAUGUCCCAGCAUCUGGAGGGGGUGGGGAACAUUGAAGUCUACAGUUUCUUUCUGCUCCCUCCAUACCAAGCCACUUUCUCCAUACCCAGCCCAAUGCCUGCCUUGUCUUGCAAUCCUACCCAGGAUGCCCAGCAUCCUGGAAGCCCUAGCAGACCACACCUUGGCAAUAGAGAGCAGGCAGGCAGGCAGAUGCAUGCAGCUGGUGGGUGGGGAAGGCACCUGGCAACCCCUCCCAGGUGGAAAAGAAAGAGCAGUGCAAACUAUGGCAGAAUAUGUGUCUUCAGGCUCCCUCCCCUUAUCGCCUGUGACAUGUCUCUGCUACCAAGGGUGGCCAUGGGCCAGCACCUCCUCAGACAGGCCCUUAGGAAGUAAAACCCUCUGGGAAGAAGGGGGUGAGUUACAUAAGGGAGAAAAAGGCUAACCACUGAAGACAGUUAGGGACCCUUAAGGGCCUGGAUGUGAUGAGAUGGAACAGGGACCCCUCUUAGCAGUUUACUGGGCACUCCAAGCAUGGAAAUAAAGAAAAGAUUUUGAGUCCCUUCAAAAUGCCUGGGAUAUUCCAAGCACCUAGCUAGGCCUUGCAACCAGCAAUUAAAAAGGUAAACAGGCUGAGCAUGGGGGCUCACUCUUAUAAUCCCAGAACUUUGGGAGGCCGAGGUGGGCAGAUCACUUGAGGUUAGGAGUCCGAGACCAGCCUGGCCAACAUGGUAAAACCCUUCUCUACUAAAAAUACAAAAAUUAGCCAGGCAUGGUGGCAUGCACCUGUAGCCCAGCUACUCAGGAGGCUGAGGUAGGAGAAUUGCUUGUACCUGGGUGGUGGAGAUGGCAGUGAGCUGAGAUCAAGCCACUGCACUCCAGCCUGGGAGACAGAGUGAGACUCCAUUUCAAAAAAAAAAAAAGGAAACAAUUCAAGCAAGACGAUAACAAUCACUUAACAAUAGUCACCCAAAUAGGUUAGAGUCACAAGAUGUUAGGUCCCAAGAUGAAAGAUACCAAUUUGACAUAUGUCCUUGAGUUGUUUUUCAGAAGCUUGGACCCCCAGCAGUUGGAAAAUGCUGACCACUGUCAUGUAGACCUCAGGUAAGAGGGAACUGAGGACUGAACUCUGAUUGCCAGUUUUUGUUCUAAAUUUCUUCCUGAUGGGCCUGGAGAUGUUUCCAGAAAGGGGUUCUUCCAGACCCCAAGAGAAUGUUCUUGGAUCUUGCAUAAGAAAGGAUUUAGAGUGAGUUCACAGAGUAAAGUGAAAGCAAGUUCAUUAAGAAAGUAAAGAGGACGGGCACAGUGGCUCAUACUUGUAAUCCUAGCAGUCUGGGAGGCUGAGGCGCGUGGAUCACCUGAGGUCAGAACUUUGAGACCAGCCUGACCAAAGUGUUGAAACCCCAUCUCCACUAAGAAUACAAAAAUUAGCUGGAUGUGGUGGUGGGCGCCUGUAAUCCCAACUACUGGGGAGGCUGAGGCAGGAGACUCGCUUGAACCUGGGAGGCAGAGGUUGCAGUGAGCUAAGAUUGCACCAUUGCACUCCAGCCUGGGUGACAAAAGCAAAACUCUGUCUCAGGAAAAAAGAAAAAGGUAAAGAAACAAAAGAAUGGCUACUCCAUAGGCAGAGCAGCCAUGAGGGCUCCUGGUUGGCUGCUUUUACAGUUAUUUCUUGAUCAUAUGCUAAACAAGAGGUGGAUUAUUUAUGAGUUUUCUGGGAAAGGGGUGGGGAAUUCACAGAACUAAGGAUUUCUCUCUUUUAGGCCAUAUAAGGUAACCUCUAGAGGUUGCCCUGGCAUUUGUAAACUCUCAUGGCACUGGUGGGAGUGUCUUUUAGCAUGCUAAUGCAGUUAAUUAUCACAUAAUGGGCAGUGAGGACAGCCAGAGGUCAUUUUCAUCACCAUCUUGGAUUUAGCGGGCUUUGGCUGGCUUUUUUUUCCUCUAUCCUGUUUCAUCAGCAGGGUCUCUGUGACUUGUAUCUUUUACUGACCUCCUGUUUUAUCCUGUGACUAAGAAUGUCUAACCUCCUGAACUGUGACCCAGUGGGUCUCAGCCUUAUUUUACCCAGUCCCUGUUCAAGACAGAGUUGCUCUGGUUCAAACGUCUCUGACAGAGAGUCACAGCCACAGGCCAAAACUUAUCAUUCCUUUCUGUUGACCCCAAGGUUUUAGACAAAGCAAUGCUUCCUUAACCAAUUGCAAAUCAAAAAAAUCUCUUUAUCUAUCUAUGACCUGUUAGCCCCUGCUUCAAGAUAGCCUGCUUUUUGGACCAAAUUAAUGUAAAACCUCCGUGUGUUGACAUAUGAUUUUGUCUGUAACUUCUGCUUUUCUAAACUGUACCUCUGCCUUUAAAAACUCCUGCUUGUAAGCCAUCAGGGACUUCAAGCCUUAAGUGAUUCUCCUUGCUUAAUGCAAGGAGACAUAAGGCAUCACUAAAUACAUGGUAAGAUGUACAUUGAUUCAGUCCAGAAAGGCAGGACAACUGGAAGUAGGGUCUUCAUGUUAUAGGCAUAUUCAAAUUUUCUAAUUGGCAAUUGGUCGAAAGAGUAAUUAUCAAUAGAAAGGCAUGUCCCCAUUACACUCAGGGGUUGUGAGGACCAAGGCUUUAGCCUGCAGAUGAAGCCUCCAGGUAGCAGGCUUUAGAGAGAACAAAUUGUAAAUGUUUCUUGUUAGAUUUAAAGCAUCUGGUCUACAGUAAUUCUAAAAGGGAGGAGGAUAUAAUGAGGCAUGCCUGGCUCCCCAUUCCGAUCAUGGCCUAAACUCAUUUUUCAGGUCAACUUUGGAAUGACCUUGGCCUGGAGAGGGAGUCUAUUCAGAUGAUUGGGGGAACCUUAAAAUUUAUUUUUGGUUUACAGGGGCUUUGAAUUCAGGCUUAAAUACCAUCAUCCCACUGGGGGGAAAAAAAAGGUGUUGGGGAAGACCGAUCAUGAGGAGAUGCCCAGAAAAGCACAGUCAAGGAUGAGGUUUGUUAUGGGGAUUUAAGUCCAUGCUGUCUCCAUUGUUAUGAGUUUCUAGUGAUUUACUCAUCCCUGUCUUCCUGUUACAGACACUCUUAUAAGUGGUGAUUUCCUUUAUAAAUGUAAAUUUCCCUUAUUGAAAAAUAACUUUUACUCUGUUUUCAGAGCUUCUCCUAUGUCUGCAGUUACUCAAAAUAACCAGUUCAAAAUAAUCCUUAUGCCAAAGAGGCAUAUUUUGGAGUAGCAUAUUCUGGUCUCCUACACUAAGCAAGUCACAGGCCAGCCCAGAUUCAGGAAGUGGGAAGUAGACUCUACCUCUUGAUAGGAGGAUUGUGUUUGUAUUGGGAUCAUAGCUCGCGAAGGAAGUAAACUCCAUGAUGUGGAAGCUUUUUAACAUCUAUUAAUAAUGAUUGAAAACUCCACUUCUUAUGUUUUCUGCUGAGAUCACAGGUAUGAGCCACCACACCUGGUCAUGUAAAUGAAUUAUUUUAAACUUCAUCUGUCUACGUCUCUUAAUUGUUCCUGAACUCUGGCAGAGAAAGGAGAGAUCUAACUUAUUGGGAACUUUCAAAUCACAACAGUAAAUACUAACAGCAUCAUUUCAGUGAAAAGUUAAGUACUUUGUACAAGGCUGUGGUAGGGAGGGAGUACUCAGCUCGUAGGUUCUUGGCCUCUCUAACCCCAAAGAAUAGGGAAGGGGCCCUGGAGGCAUGGUGAGUUUACCAUUCUCAUAAAUAUCAUGGACCCAAAGAUUUUUUUAUCAGAGAGAAAGAAGACAUCUCCCACACUGUGGUGGGAGGGAAUCCAGAGAAGGAAUCCGUUCAGGUAGGAGCAGCUGAAGUUUUAACCCUUGAGUUAUUCCUUCCCCAUUCAUGUUCUCAUCCAAUAAGAUAAGUUCUUUCAAACUUCCUCUGAAUUGAUUGAUCUUCUUCUCUGAUACCAGAUUGGCUACUUGUUUUACAACCCUGAGUCACAGAGCAUCCUCUUCCCAGAGCUUUCAGUGGGAAUUUGGAACAAAAGAACCCUACCAAAGAAUUUUACCUGACCAGCGUGGAAGUGGUGCUCAAACAGCCCCAGCCACCUGAGGCAGGGAACCAGGAAAUCCUGCAUUCGAAACCCCUCCCCCAGCCGACCCCAGAAGAGAAGUUUCUUUAACACCGUCCCUCAGUUGCAUGGCUAAUGCUCAGUUAGGCUUCAUUCCAGAACUAGCCUCCUUGACUAGAAGCAGGACUGCCUUCACCCUGUCUUUGUGACUGCAAGAAGCCAGUCAACAUUUAUGCCACCAUUUUCUUUCCUUCAACCAAAUCCAGGUUAACAAACCUUUCUUAAUACCUCUGCCCCCACUUCUUCGUGUACCUACCAUUUAUUGAGUGCUUAUUGUGCAACUCAGAGGUCAGUGGAGGUUCCCGACAUCUGAAAAUUCAAUUGGAAUUUUUUUGAAACCAUUCCCGCAUUAUAAAUGUGGGGAAAGUCCUGAGUGACUCCACUCUCCCAGGAUUUGGGGUGGGAGCCCCAGUUUACCUUACUUCUCCUUACUCCUAGUGGGUUAUAACUCCAAGAUUCCAUUAAAUUAUAAAUUAUCUCACCAUCUUUUAUGUGCUAUUUCUCUACACUGUCCCUAGACAUGAAAUAGAGACACCUGCCCUUGAUUUCUUCCUUAAGAAUUCCCUAAACUGCUCGUUGGGAGUGAAGCAAAGGUGUGGUGUGUCAGGAGGGUUUUUAAUUACUCAGGCUGUUAACUCCCUGCUGAUAUCUGAUAUCUCACAUUCCCAGUUCCUCUCCUCCCAUAUUUUUGUACUUUAUUCUGCAAAGCAUCACACAUAU